UCUCUGCUGCUUAUUCCAUCUUCAGAAUGAAAUGCAAGAGUUGUCUGACAUAGAUGUUUGGUAACUAAGUCUCUCUGCUGUGUGAAAAAGUUUCUGGCUGCUACAUUUGUCUGCAUUUAUUUUUAGUGUUCACAGGAAUUCAGUUAUCGUCUUAAUGACUUUUUUUUCAUUUUUUCCACCUUGUUUUGUAGGUAGCCUUGGCACUUCCUUUCAAUGCCAGUCAAUCCUUCAGGAUCACAUUUGCAACGAUGACAGUGACAAGCGCACUGUGUUCCUGGAAGAUUCUUGAGUGAGGAGCAGGUGGUGGAAAUUUCCUUUCAGAGGGAUCCUAGUGCACCAACUUCAGACUGGCACUCCCUUUUAACAUUCUUCCUUUUCUAUCAUUAUAUGGAAGAUCACCUCUGUGUUAGAUGCUGGAAUGAGAGAAAACUGAGGGAAGACAAUCAUAUCAGGAAGGGAAAGCAUAUCACAAACCCUAAUCCUCAGAAAAUGAUCCAUGUUCUUUGUUCUUCUCUAUGGCUGGAGCAGAGUCAGGGAGGAUAAGCUGAAUCGUGUCUCCCAUAGCUGAACUCAAAUCAAAUCAGGCAUUCAUUUGGAUAUUCAUCUAUAAAAUAAUGUGGUAUUUACCCACCUUUUCUGUGGAAUCUUUGCUUAUGGAUGAGGGACAAUACAUAGAAAAAUAGGAAUAUUAAAAGGGAUACCUUUUGCUCCUUCCAGUUUCAAAACUGUGAAAUUUCUCACUGUUCUGCUUAGGAGAGCACUAAUUCAUUUUUCUUUGUUUUUUUUUUUUCUUUCAUGCAUACAUUCAGUUCAGUCUAUAUAUUUCUGCUGAGUUUCUUCAUGCUUUUUUAAUUUCCAUUGCAGAUGUGGCAGCCCCAUCGAUAUUGUUCACUAAACGUAAGCCACUUCCAGGCCUAGUGAAGUUUUUGUCUGCAUUGCAGCUCUGUUUCCUUAUAUCUACAGCGGAUUUCUUUUUGUUUCUUCUGGAUCAGAUUUGGGGGAAACUUAAUUAGAAGGAAGUGCAGAGACCACAGGCAGGACUGAAAGCUGAAGACUGCUACCGGGUGCCUUAUUUUCAGGGGAGCUGCUUGGGCGUCGCUAAGACCUCAUUGGACCCCCUUGCUGUGUCUCCCGAUGGCGCUAAAAGCAAAAGGCUGGUCAUAUUUCUCUAGCUUCUCAGCAGCAGCAGGUGCCCGUUCCUCCGCGUUUGUAGGUUUUGCCUGCCGGGGAAGCGAGGCCAGAGGCAAGAGCGGGCAUGCCCGGGAG